rnacentral:lncRNA from 1 species
AUUUCUAAAUGACUUGAAGCUCUGUCACGGCAUAAUCUCUUAUAAAUAAAUGUCAGUGUAGUCACUGAAUGCAGACUGGAUUUUUGCCUGACUACGGUGCUCAGCCUUCUAGACAAUAGUUAUGCUAAGGGAUUAUCUUUUAACAUUGUGCAGUUAUCUCCUUUGUUUGUUUUCUUUUUUCAUUAUUCACAUAAGCCAAGGGAAAUGAAAAGCAUCUUAUUUCAGGCAAAAAGGCCUGUGAAUGAUUAACUCUGGUUCCAUGCGUUGGGACUUUGCAUAGCAACCCCGUGGCUUGCAACGACAAAAAAGCUCAAGGCAGGAACAGCAGCCCAGGGACCUGAGACCAGCGUUCUCAAAUGAAGCCAGAUCUGCUGUUAGAGGAGAAUUCUUCUGUCCUAGCUGUGUCUCUGUGAUCUGUGGAUGAGGGUGGGAAAGCACCACUCAGUCAAUUGGGGUGUACAAAAUGGAGUUUGAGAAGGUCUCACAUCCAGGUUGUUUUGAAGCAAAGUCCAAGCAUUGUAUCACUUCAUCUGCAAAUAUUUCAAUAAGUACCCAAAAGUGGUUGGACUGAGUCCCAUGAAGCCAGAUCACUUCUGACUGCAAGGAGCUUGGAAAAGCAAGUAUCUGGAUCUUUUACCAGCUAAAUUUGGAGGAACUAUAAAAUGAGAAAAGAUUGAUGAAUAUUAAGUAGAAGAGUGAGAUGGUCAUCUUUGCAUUUAAAAAAGAUCAUUUGCUGUUGCUGUAUGGAAAAUGAAUUGGAGCAGGCGAUGAGGCUUCCUCUUUGAAGAUCACAGGUGAGAAGAUUAGGUGCUUUCUCAGAAGCCCAGCAACCUGAUGGGAGUGUGGAGUGAGCAAGACCCAAAUCGGAGCUUCAUCCCUGCAUGGUUCAUUUUGCUUAUUUGGCAAACUUGCCCUGCAGAAUCUACUCAAGCUUCCUCAGUUUCUCAAAUCAUUCUUGGGCAACAAAUGAACAAGAAAGAGGACGUCUUAUUAUCUGGUGUCUGGCUUGCUGAUUUAAUAACCUAGGAGACAGUGUUUGAAGAACACAAACUCUAAAGUCCUUCACUUAAAAAAAAAAAAAAACUUUCCCAAAUUGCUUACCAUUUGGAAAAAUUGCCUUACCUUCUUCAGUCAUCUCUGAUGUUGUCAUCCUCAGAGUAAGAAGUACGCAUUCAUAAGGAACCAUAACGUCCUUCAGGAAAUCCAGUACACCCUACAAUUUUACCUAAAACUUUGAUGUUGUUUUUUCUGAGCAUUUUACCUUCUAGGGAAAUGGAUCUCAUGCUGUUUAUCAGUUUCUGAAAGUUGUUAUUAAUCUCCCCUCAUCCCAAAAUUGAAGAACUUUGCUUAAAUCUUAGAAUCAGAACUUUGGCUCCAGUAAUAAAGACUUUUCAAUAUCUUUAUCUGCCAUUGAGUCUUACCUAACGAAAUAAAGCCUCCAAAGUGGGAAUUUGAAA